AUACGUAUGGGGCAAGCGUUAUCCGGAUUUACUGGGUGUAAUGGGAGCGUAGACGGAAGGCCAGGUCUGAUGUGAAAGCUCGCGGCUCAUCGGCGGGACUGCAUUGGAAACUGGCAAUAUGGAGUGCAGGAGGGGUAAGCGGAUUUUCUAGUGUAGUGUAGAAAUGCGUAGAUAUUGGAAUGAACACCGGUGGUGAAGGCGGUUUACUGGAAUUAAACUGACGUUGAGGCUAGAGAGCGUGGGGAGCAGACAGGAUUAGAUACCCAGGUAGUCCACGCCGUAAACGAUGAAUACUAGGUGUCGGGUUUCUAUAGAGAUUCGGUGCCGCAGCAAACGCAAUAAGUAUACCAACUGGGGAGUACGUUCGCAAGAAUGAAACUCAAAUGAAUCGGCGGGG
rnacentral:rRNA from 1 species